GAUGAACGCUAGCUACAGGCUUAACACAUGCAAGUCGAGGGGCAGCAUGGUCUUAGCUUGCUAAGGCCGAUGGCGACCGGCGCACGGGUGAGUAACACGUAUCCAACCUGCCGUCUACUCUUGGACAGCCUUCUGAAAGGAAGAUUAAUACAAGAUGGCAUCAUGAGUCCGCAUGUUCACAUGAUUAAAGGUAUUCCGGUAGACGAUGGGGAUGCGUUCCAUUAGAUAGUAGGCGGGGUAACGGCCCACCUAGUCUUCGAUGGAUAGGGGUUCUGAGAGGAAGGUCCCCGACAUUGGAACUGAGACACGGUCCAAACUCCUACGGGAGGCAGCAGUGAGGAAUAUUGGUCAAUGGGCGCAGGCCUGAACCAGCCAAGUAGCGUGAAGGAUGCCUGCCCUAUGGGUUGUAAACUUCUUUUAUAAGGAAUAAAGUCGGGUAUGGAUACCCGUUUGCAUGUACUUUAUGAAUAAGGAUCGGCUAACUCCGUG
rnacentral:rRNA from 1 species